AGCGAACGCUGGCGGCAGGCCUAACACAUGCAAGUCGAACGAACCUUCCGGGGUUAGUGGCGGACGGGUGAGUAACACGUGGGAACGUGCCUUUAGGUUCGGUAUAAUUUAGGGAAACUUGUGCUAAUACCGCUUGUGCCCUUCGGGGGAAAGGUUUAUCGCCUUUAGAGCGGCCCGCUUCUGUUUAGCUAGUUGGUUGUGGUAAUGGCUCACCAAGGCGACGAUCAGUAGCUGGUGUGAGAGGAUGAUUAGCCACAUUGGGACUGAGGCGCGGCCCAAACUCCUACGGGAUGGAGCAGUAGGGGAUCCUGCGCAAUGAGCGAAAGCCUGACACAGCCAUGCGGCGGAAGAGAUGAAGGUCGUAGGAAUGUAAUAUUCUUUCACCGGUGGCGAUAAUGACGGUACCCGGAGAAGAAGCCCCGGCUAACUUCGUG
rnacentral:rRNA from 1 species